rnacentral:rRNA from 1 species
UGAGGAAUUUUCCGCAAUGGGCUAACGCCUGACGGAGCAAUGCCGCGUGGAGGAGGAAGGCCUGUGGGUCGUAAACUCCUUUUCUCAGAGAAGAAGAUCUGACGGUAUCUGAGGAAUAAGCAUCGGCUAACUCCGUGCCAGCAGCCGCGGUAAUACGGGGGAUGCAAGCGUUAUCCGGAAUUAUUGGGCGUAAAGCGUCCCGAGGUGGCUUACCCAGUCGACUGUGAAAGCUCAGGGCUUAACCUUGAAACUGCAGUCGAAACUUGUAAGCUUGAGUACGGUAGAGGCAGAGGGAAUUCCCGGAGGAGAGGUGAAAUUCGUAGAUAUCGGGAGGAAGGCCAAAGGCGAAAGCACUCUGCUGGGCCGAUUACUGACACUGAGGAGCGAAAGCGUGGGGAGCGAACAGG